AUUGAACGCUGGCGGCAGGCUUAACACAUGCAAGUCGAGCGGAGAUGAGGUGCUUGCACCUUAUCUUAGCGGCGGACGGGUGAGUAAUGCUUAGGAAUCUGCCUAUUAGUGGGGGACAACAUUCCGAAAGGAAUGCUAAUACCGCAUACGUCCUACGGGAGAAAGCAGGGGAUCUUCGGACCUUGCGCUAAUAGAUGAGCCUAAGUCGGAUUAGCUAGUUGGUGGGGUAAAGGCCUACCAAGGCGACGAUCUGUAGCGGGUCUGAGAGGAUGAUCCGCCACACUGGGACUGAGACACAGCCCAGACUCCUACGGGAGGCAGCAGUGGGGAAUAUUGGACAAUGGGGGGAACCCUGAUCCAGCCAUGCCGCGUGUGUGAAGAAGGCCUUAUGGUUGUAAAGCACUUUAAGCGAGGAGGAGGCUACCGAGACUAAUACUCUUGGAUAGUGGACGUUACUCGCAGAAUAAGCACCGGCUAACUCUGUGCCAGCAGCCGCCGUAAAAC
rnacentral:rRNA from 1 species